GCCGGGCAUGGUGGUGCGUGCCUGUAAUCCCAACUACUCGGGAGGCUGAGGCAGGAGAAUCGCUUGAACUCAGGAGGCAGAGGUUGCAGUGAGCCGAGAUCGCGCCACUGCACUCCAGCCUGGGCGACAGAGUGAGACUCUGUCUCAA
rnacentral:SRP_RNA from 2 species